AACGAACGCUGGCGGCAUGCCUAACACAUGCAAGUCGAACGAGAUCUUCGGGUCUAGUGGCGCACGGGUGCGUAACGCGUGGGAAUCUGCCCUUUGGUUAGGAAUAACAGUUGGAAACGACUGCUAAUACCGGAUGAUGACGAAAGUCCAAAGAUUUAUCGCCAGAGGAUGAGCCCGCGUAGGAUUAGCUAGUUGGUGUGGUAAAGGCGCACAAAGGCGACGAUCCUUAGCUGGUCUGAGAGGAUGAUCAGCCACACUGGGACUGAGACACGGCCCAGACUCCUACGGGAGGCAGCAGUGGGGAAUAUUGGACAAUGGGCGAAAGCCUGAGCCAGCAAUGCCGCGUGAGUGAUGAAGGCCUUAGGGUUGUAAAGCUCUUUUACCCGGGAUGAUAAUGACAGUACCGUGAGAAUAAGCUCCGGCUAACUCCGUGCCAGCAGCCGCCGUAA
rnacentral:rRNA from 1 species